rnacentral:rRNA from 1 species
AUUGAACGCUGGCGGCAGGCUUAACACAUGCAAGUCGAACGAGUGGCGGACGGGUGAGUAAUGUCUGGGAAUCUGGCCUAUGGAGGGGGAUAACUACUGGAAACGGUGGCUAAUACCGCAUACCAUCGGAUGUACCCAUAUGGGAUUAGCUAGUAGGUGGGGUAAUGGCUCACCUAGGCGACGAUCCCUAGCUGGUCUGAGAGGAUGAUCAGCCACACUGGAACUGAGACACGGCCCAGACUCCUACGGGAGGCAGCAGUGGGGAAUAUUGCACAAUGGGCGCAAGCCUGAUGCAGCCAUGCCGCGUGUAUGAAGAAGGCCUUAGGGUUGUAAAGUACUUUCAGCGGGGAGGCGUUACCCGCAGAAGAAGCACCGGCUAACUCCGUGCCAGCAGCCGCGGUAAUUC